GCAUCGGUGGUUCAGUGGUAGAAUGCUCGACUGCCACGCGGGCGGCCAGGUUCAAUUUCUGGACGAUACA
rnacentral:tRNA from 1 species